AAACUCAAGUUCAAAAACACCAGAACCUCAAGUUCAAAAAACAUAAUAAACUCAAGUUCAAAUAUUCCACAAACUCAAGUUCAAUGAACACCACAAACUCAAGUUCAACCAACACCCGAUUCUCAAGUUUAACAAUUGCAACAACCUCAAGUUGAAAAAAACACAAACUCAAGUUCAAACACUUCACAAACUCAAGUUCAACAAACGCCACAAACUCAAGUUCAACAAUUGCCACCAACUAAAGUUCACUAAAAACCAAAGACUCAAGUUCAACAAUUCCCAAAAAAUCAAGCGAAACAAACUCAAGUUCAUAAGUUGUCACAAACUUCAAACACGACACAAACUCAAGUUCAAAAACACCACAAACUCAAGUUCAAAAAGACACAAACUCAAGUUCAACAAACAAAACUAACUAUUUAGAGUAAUUUUGAGGUGUUUGAGAGGUUUUUUGUAGACUUACCCUAGUGGUCCUAUGUUGUUGUUGAUGUGAGGCGUUUCUUUUCCAGUAGUCUAAAAUCUGUUGGAGGGGGAAAAGGUUCCAGCUGUCCAGCCGCGGCGGCAGCGGUGUGUCUGAAGUCCGGGGUCCUCGGCGGGGGAAAGAAGAUAGGCGCUCCGCGGCAAGGUUUGCUGGGACUCGGUGCCGUCGGCGGGUCGAAGCUCGGUGGUGGGCGGCUUGGAGUGAUGGAGGUGCGGCGUCUUCUUUCAGGUGGCGGGCGGCGUCUUCCUCGAGGCGGUGGUCGGUCUUCUUGGUCCAGUGGUCAGUGCUUUGUCUCAAUUACAGGAACAGGAAUUGCUCUUUAGUGCACAGCACUUAAAUGUGCUUUUGACAGGAGAAGACAUCCCCAGAGUUGGGCUCGAGUCAUGGUUCGUGCUGUUCCUCUCAGACAUGGUUGUGUUCUCUUCUCGAUGUUUGUAUUCCAGAAUGGAUGUCUCUUGGUUGUAUUUUAAACUUUCAAGUUGUUUUAAGUUAAUUUUAAUGUAGUUUAUUUAUUUUAAAUUUAGUUUUGCUACAUUAAAUUUGUAUGCAAUCGUAAGGGAUUGUGGGUAUUUUAGUUCUGAGGGAUGAGAGCCUAAGGAAUCAAUCUUCCUGUUACAGCAAAGGAUUGUGGGUAAAACCGUGAGUGAGUGAGGUACUUCCUUUCUGCCAUGAGAGCCUUGGGAAUCAAUCUCCCUGUUGCAGCAAAGGAUUGUGGGUAAAACCGUGAGUGAGGGAGGUACAUUUUUCCUGGCAUGAGAACCUCAGGAGUCAGUCCUUCCUAAGAAAAAAGAGGGGAGGGGAAGACAAACAAAAGCACAGGAACCCUAAAAUGAAAUAAAAUAAAAUAAAAUGAAAUAAUAUAAAACAAUGAAAAAAUAAAAAAUAAAAGAAGAACAAAAGUGGAUUGCAAAAGGGAAAGGAGAAGAAAAAAGGAAAAAAAGAAGUGUCAAGAGCAAAUAGCAAAAAACGGAAGUGAGCUUAAAAACAGAGAACAGUUCCCUAAAAGACAGACAGAAAUGUAAAUUUGAUCAAUGUCCUAAGGGAAAAUCUGCACGUGUAUGUGUGUUCUUUUUUACUAGCUUAGUCUGGUGUCACUGAUGGUCAGUUAUCAAUAAGUAUUUAUUAUUUAAAUUUUUGAUGAAGUUGUUUGUAGUGGGGUUAGCUGGCUAAUUUUAGAGUGUUAAAAAAGAUGUUAGAGGGGGAGGAUUUAGGUGGCACGGCGGUUCCCCUUCAGGUCUCUCUUAAUCUUCAAUAUAGGUGACCCAACAGGGGUUACCCCCCGGCCGGGGUAGGCCGAGGCUGAAGAUCACCUAUUUGUCAUCUGUGAAGGUGAAAAUAAAGGGGCAGGGGAGGGAAUAAGAAAGAGGGGGGGUGUUAGAGAAAAGUAUUUAUCUUUUCGUCAUUGCUGUUACGGUUUAGAUGUUUUUUGUUUAGUUUUCUGAGGAAUGUAGUGUUAGUAUAGGUUCCAAGGUGGAGGAUUCUUUGGAAUUCACUCUCACCCUUGAAACUGGAAGAUCUUAGACUCUAUAAAGGGGGGGGGGGGAGGUUGUGUGCACAGAAGGAGCAUGGGCUCAGACUAUUCUCGGAAUGAUAUUGUGACAAGUCUGUCCGAAGGUAAGUGGCUGGUUAGGUGUGGGAAAGAGAUAGAGUGAUAGCCCCCGCUUUCGUCAGUUGACUUGGCGGUUUGAGGUAGGCUGAUCAAGGACUUGCACUGGCCGGCGCAUGUCGACCUGUCACAUGUUCCAGUCGAGUCUCCGAGCUCAAUCUGUGUGUAAAAAUUAUGUGUUGGUAGAAAGUUUAAUGACUCAGCUCAGUUGGUAUGCUAUGCUGUCUAUCUUUUAGACUAUGUGUUUGUUGAGCAAUUUUAUGUAUAUAUUAUGUUACAGGGCUAGGAAAAGGUUAAAGGUUUUUGACGUUAGGGUUAAAAUCACUGUCCAAAACCUUUGUAGGAACACUUUUCCAACCUUUUGGAGGGAGCUAGACUAGAAAAAAAAGAAAAAAAAAAAUUGGGGUGUUCGGGCUUCCUGAAGGUAAUACCCGGUAUUAGGUUUUGGGGCUAGGGUAACUUUUAAGGUUUUUGGCGAUAUGGUUAAAAUCACUGUCCAAAACCUUUGUAGGAAGUCUUUUCCAACCUUUUGGAGUUAGUUAGACAAAAAAAAAAAGAUAAAUGAAAAAAAAAUAUUUGGGGUGUUCGGGCUUCCUGAAGGUAAUACCCGGGUAUUAGGUUAUGGGGCUAGGGUAAGGUUUAAGGCUUUUGGCGUAUGGGUUGAAAUCACUGUCCAAAACCUUUUUAGGAACAUGUUUCAGACCUUUUGGAGUUAGUUAGUCCAAAAAAAAAGAUAAAUGAAAAAAAUAUAUUUGGGGUGUUCGGGCUUCCUGAAGGUAAUACCCGGGUAUUAGGUUAGGGGCUAAGGUAAGGUUUAAGGUUUUUGGCGUGAGGGUUAAAAUCACUGUCCAAAACCUUUGUAGGAACUCUUUACCAUCCUUUUGGAGUUAGUUAGACCAAAAAAAAAACGAAAAAUGAAAAAAAAAUAUUUGGGGUUUUCAGGCUUCCUGAAGGUAAUAACCGGGUAUUAGGUUAUGGGGCUAGGGUAAGGUUUAAGGUUUUUGGCGCGAGGGUUAAAAUCACUGUCCAAAACCUUUGUAGGAACUCUUUUCCAACCUUUUGGAGUUAGUUAGACCACAAAAAAUAAAAAAAAAUAUUUGGGGUGUUCGGGCUUCCUGAAGGUAAUACCCGGGUAUUAGGUUUUGGGGCUAGGGUAACUUGUAAGGUUUUUGGCGAUAGGGUUAAAAUCACUGUCCAAAACCUUUGUAGGAAGUCUUUUCCAACC